GGAGCCGGCCAGGCAAUCGCGGCGAGCUACGCUCGUCGAGGAAAGUCCGGGCUCCUUCGGACACGACGCCAGGUAACGCCUGGAGGGCGCAAGCCCAUGGAAAGUGCCACAGAAAACUACCGCCUAAGCACUUCGGUGCCGGUAAGGGUGAAAAGGUGCGGUAAGAGCGCACCGCACGGGUGGCAACACGCCGUGGCUAGGUAAACCCCGUCGGGAGCAAGACCAAAUAGGGGAGUAGGCCGGCCUUGUGCUGGCGCCGUCGGUUCCGAACGGACUCCCGGGUAGGUUGCUUGAGGCAGUCGGUGACGGCUGUCCCAGAUGAAUGAUUGCCCUCGACAGAACCCGGCUUAAGGCCGACUCCUGCU
rnacentral:RNase_P_RNA from 1 species